GCAAUCCGCGGAUCGGUCACAUACAGGCUUGCAGAACUUGACAAAUCAUCAAUCGCUUCAUGAUAUAAAAUAAAAAAAUGUCGAAAAUAAUUUUAUCAUUAUCAAUUUUCGUAUUGGUUGCUAUCUAUUCUGGUGUGUACGCAGCAUGUCCUGGCGGUUGGUGCCAUCCAUCACAAGGAUAUGGCUGUUGUGCAGGAAAUAUAUGCAGUGAUUAUUAUUUUCAAGGCACAUGCAUUACUCAUGAAGAAGCGAAGGCAUAUGCAGCUCAGUGGGGAAAUGACUCAUAACAAUACAAUGAAAAUUUAUAAAUAUAUUUUAUAUAUUUAAUUAAUAAAAAUCUCUCACUUGCUAAAAAAAA